GAUGAACGCUAGCGGCAGGCUUAAUACAUGCAAGUUGAGGGGCAGCAUGAUAUACGCGAGUAUAUUGAUGGCGACCGGCGGACGGGUGAGUAAUAGGUAGGAGACCUACCUCAUACAGGGGGAUAGCAUAGAGAAAUCUGUGGUAAUACCCCAUGAGGUUAUAUGAAUAGAGGCAUAUAAUCAAAGCAUAAGCGAUUAUGCGGUAUGAGAGGGGCCUACUGACCAUUAGCUAGUUGGUGAGGUAAGGGCUCACCAAGGCGAAGAUGGUUAGGGGUUUUGAGAGAGAGACCCCCCACAUUGGAACUGAGAGACGGUCCAGACUCCUACGGGAGGCAGCAGUAGGGAAUAUUGGGCAAUGGGCGAAAGCCUGACCCAGCCAUGCCGCGUGAAGGAAGACGGCCUUAUGGGUUGUAAACUUCUUUACUACGCGAAUAGAGGUUAGUACGAGAUACUAAUAGGAAGUAGUGUAGUAAAAAGCACCGGCUAACUCCGUGCC
rnacentral:rRNA from 1 species